rnacentral:rRNA from 1 species
CCUACGGGAGGCAGCAGUGGGGAAUAUUUCACAAUGGGGGAAACCCUGAUGCAGCAACGCCGCGUGAGUGAGGAAGUAUUUCGGUAUGUAAAGCUCUAUCAGCAGGGAAUAGAAAAGCAGGUACCUGAAAAAGAAGCCCCGGCUAACUACUUGCCAGCAGCCGCGGUAAUACGUAGGGGGCAAGCGUUAACCGGUUUUACUGGGUGUAAAGGGAGCGUAGACGGAAAGGCAGGUCAGAAGUGAAAACCCAGGGCUCAACCAUGGGACUGCGUUGGAAACUGUCAAACUAGAGUACGGGAGAGGUAAGAGGAAUUCCUAGUGUAGCGGUGAAAUGCGUAGAUAUUAGGAGGAACACCAGUGGCGAAGGCGGCUUACUGGACCGAAACUGACGUUGAGGCUCGAAAGCGUGGGGAGCAAACAGGAUUAGAUACCCCGGUAGUC